GUGCUCAGGCCCUGAGUUCAAGUCCUAUGACUGACAAAAAAAAAAAAAAGAGGUGUUGAAAGCUUCCAGAGGGGGGAGGUCUUUAGGUCGCUGCUUCUCCCUCUUGCCUGGUAGCCAUGAGUGGCUACCACACAAUGGCAAACCAACCAGCUUUUCCAGAAAGUAGCUCAGCAACUGGUAUCAAAGCGAUCAGAGAAGUUCCUAGGUUUUGAAAAUGUAUCCUACCUAACACUAACACGAGGGUGGCUGGCUACAAACCCACAUGAUUGCUCUUGCCCAAUUCAGAAAGUAGACACCAGGAACGUUUGAAUCAACUGAGACUCAUCCGCUGGAGAGAAGGUCUUAAAGCCCCUGAGAUUUCAUAGGAAGAAUCCUUGCGGAAAUGUGAAGAUGCUCACCAGACAGCUCACACGGAGACGGAGCUGUGGAGGAGCAGUGGUUGUGAGGAUUGCGUAGAAGCGGGCAGCAGAGCGGAGCGCCUGCUGAUUCUGGGCUGUCUCUGACUGUACCUCGGACUACUUCAGACCCCAGACCACACCUUCAAUAGACAGGAAAGCAUGCCUGUCUUUUAACCUCUGCCACAAUUCUUUGUCUAUUUAAACCCAAAGCUCAUGUCUGUACCCUGAAGGUGGUGGACGAUGGGGUGAAGCGUUUAAUUUGCCUCUUUCUAAGGCUUCCUGAUCGUGCCAUGUAAUUCAUUUCCUUUCUCUGCCUCUCAAAAAUAAAUAAAUAAAGCAAGCAA